AGAGUUUGAUCCUGGCUCAGGAUGAACGCUGGCGGCAUGCCUAAUACAUGCAAGUCGAACGAGAGACCUUCGGGUCUCUAGUGGCGAACGGGUGAGUAACACGUAGGGAACCUGCCCGCGCACCGGGAAUACGCUCUGGAAACGGAGAACAAAUCCCGAUGUACAGGAAGGAGGCAUCUUCUUUCUGUGAAACAUCCUUUAGGGGAUGGGGCGCGGAUGGACCUGCGGUGCAUUAGUUUGUUGGCGGGGUAAAGGCCCACCAAGACGAUGAUGCAUAGCCGGCCUGAGAGGGCGGACGGCCACAUUGGGACUGAGACACGGCCCAGACUCCUGCGGGAGGCAGCAGUAGGGAAUUUUCGUCAAUGGGCGCAAGCCUGAACGAGCGAUGCCGCGUGAGUGAAGAAGGCCUUCGGGUCGUAAAGCUCUGUUGCGGGGGAAAAAAGGCAGCAUCAGGAAAUGGGUGCUGACUGAUGGUGCCCCGCCAGAAAGUCACGGCUAACUACGUGCCAGCAGCCGCGGUAAUACGUAGGUGGCGAGCGUUAUCCGGAAUGAUUGGGCGUAAAGGGUGCGCAGGCGGUCCUGCAAGUCUGGAGUGAAACGCAUGAGCUCAACUCAUGCAUGGCUUUGGAAACUGGAGGACUGGAGAGCAGGAGAGGGCGGUGGAACUCCAUGUGUAGCGGUAAAAUGCGUAGAUAUAUGGAAGAACACCAGUGGCGAAGGCGGCCGCCUGGCCUGUUGCUGACGCUGAGGCACGAAAGCGUGGGGAGCAAAUAGGAUUAGAUACCCUAGUAGUCCACGCCGUAAACGAUGAGGACCAAGUGUUGGGGGUGAAACCUCAGUGCUGAAGUUAACGCAGUGAGUCCUCCGCCUGGGGAGUAUGCACGCAAGUGUGAAACUCAAAGGAAUUGACGGGGGCCCGCACAAGCGGUGGAGUAUGUGGUUUAACUCGAAGCAACGCGAAGAACCUUACCAGGCCUUGACAUGGGAUGCGAAGAUGCAGAGAUGCAUUGGAGGUUAUCAUCCACACAGGUGGUGCAUGGUUGUCGUCAGCUCGUGUCGUGAGAUGUUGGGUCAAGUCCCGCAACGAGCGCAACCCU
rnacentral:rRNA from 1 species